rnacentral:rRNA from 1 species
GACGAACGCUGGCGGCGUGCUUAACACAUGCAAGUCGAGCGGUAAGGCCCUUUCGGGGGUACACGAGCGGCGAACGGGUGAGUAACACGUGGGUGACCUGCCCUUAGCUCUGGGAUAAGCCUGGGAAACUGGGUCUAAUACCGGAUAUGACUCCAUGACGCAUGUUGUGGGGUGGAAAGCCUUGUGCGGCUAGGGAUGGGCCCGCGGCCUAUCAGCUUGUUGGUGGGGUGAUGGCCUACCAAGGCGACGACGGGUAGCCGGCCUGAGAGGGCGACCGGCCACACUGGGACUGAGACACGGCCCAGACUCCUACGGGAGGCAGCAGUGGGGAAUCUUGCGCAAUGGGCGAAAGCCUGACGCAGCGACGCCGCGUGAGGGAUGACGGCCUU